rnacentral:ncRNA from 2 species
GAUGCGGACGGCCUCCGAGUCCCGGAGUCCUACGGCGGCUGGUCACCGCUAGGGAGUCGGGACCGAUAGGGUCGAGGCAGGAAACUCCUCGGCCUCCCGUGUUCGGAAAGGAGUCGACAUGACAGACCGC